AGUUUACAAUGAGCAACUGAAGAUAGCAGCCUCAAAAUGAUGUCUCCUUUGCACGCAGUAAUUGUGGCGUGUCCUGCACAAGGCCAUGUUAAUCCACUGAUGAAUCUUGCAGAGCUGCUGGCCAUGCGAGGAUUUUUCAUAACCUUUGUUACUACUGAAUGGAUGGAUCAGCGGCUUUUGAAAGCAGCUUCAAAAGAUGCAGCUGCACGUGACCGUGAGAUUCAAGGAAGGGGCUUCAAAUUUCGGUUUUUAGCUAUCCCAGACGGCUUACCGCCGGAACAUGGCCGAACUUCUGAGAUUGGUGAGCUUUUGCUUGCGCUGCAAAGCUUGGGACCUGCUUUGGAAAGUGUGUUGAGUGUAGCAGAUGAAUCUGUACCGCCAAUCACUUGCAUUAUUACGGACAGCUAUUUAUCCUGCACAGCAGAAGUAGCUAAAAAUCUUGGGGUGCCCAGAGUUGUCUUCUGGACUACCUGUACUGCAUAUGCCAUUAUUCUUAAAAAUGCUCACUUUCUUCUUUCUCAGGGCCAUAUCCCUGUCAAAGAAGAGGACUUAAAGUCUAAAGAUAAACUAAUCACAUGCCUCCCUGGAAAAAUCCCUCCUAUCAGGCCAACUGACAUCGUUUCCUUCUUCCGGGAAAAACAUGUCUCUGAAGUAAUUUACAGUGCCUCCCUCUACGAAUCUCGCAUCCAAAACAUAGCAGACUACGUGCUAGUCAAUACUUUCGAGGAGUUGGAAGGAGGUAUAGAUGCACAAAUAGGUCUAAGCGUUAAUGGAUGCCCUUCUCUGGCAAUUGGCCCAGUGUUUCUUCCAAAUUUCUUACAAGGUAGGAAUUCCGUGUAUAGUAUGUGGGAAGAGGAUAAAACGUGCUUUCAAUGGCUCGACGGUCAAGCGCAGGGAUCUGUGUUAUAUGUUUCCUUUGGUAGCAUGGCUAUAAAAUCUGAAAAGCAAUUGCAUGAACUGGCUCUUGGACUAGAAGCUUGUGGGUACCCGUUCCUGUGGGUGCUCAGAUCAGAUAUAGCAGAUGGUAAGUCCCUUGAUUUACCAGAAGGCUUCAAGGAUCGAACCAAGGAUCGGGCUCUGAUCGUUAGUUGGACGAAUCAGUUGAAGGUGCUUUCUCAUCUAUCAAUUGGAGGAUUCCUUACACAUAGUGGGUGGAAUUCUACUUUGGAGGCAAUUAGUAUGGGAAUUCCGAUGAUUGGAUGGCCUUAUUGUGGUGAUCAAUUUCUUAAUUGUCGAUUUGUAAAAGAUGUUUGGAAUGUUGGCUUUGACUUUAAGGGUGUUGAUGUAGAUGAAUUCAAAGUAGUGACACAAGAGAUUGUUGAGAGUACAAUUAGAAGUAUAAUGGAAGGUUCUAGCAGAGUGAAACUACGUGAAAAUGUUGUGAGGCUAAAGGAGGCAGCACACAAGGCAGUGACGGAAGGAGGAACUUCUUAUUCAAACUUGAACACUUUUGCAGAGGAUAUGCAAAAGAUAGCAAAAUCAAGGGUCUAAGGAGUUUCCUAAUAUAUUUUAUCUAGUGAAAUCAAGCUGCUGGGCAUGCGAGGAUUUUUCAUAACCUUCGUUACUACUGAAUGGAUGGAUCAGCGGCUUUUGAAAGCAGCUUCCAGAGAUGCAGCUGCACGUGACCGUGAGAUUCAAGGAAGGGGUUUCAAAUUUCGGUUUUAAGCUAUCCCAGAUGGCUUACCGCCGGAACAUGGCCGAACUUCUGAGAUUGAGGAGGACUUGAAGUCUAAACAGAAACUCAUCACAUGCUUUCACGGAAAACUCCCACCUGUCAGGCCAACCGACAUCGUUUCUUCUUCCGGGAAAAACACAUCUCUGAAAUUAUUUACAGUGCCCAUCUUUACGAAUCUCGCUUCCUAAACAUAGGAGACUACUUACUAGUCAAUACUUUCGAGGAGUUGGAAGGAGGUAAAGAAACUCAAAUGGGUCUCAGGGUUAAUGGACGCCCUGCUCUGGCAAUUGGUCCUGUGUCUCUUCCAAAUUUCUUACAAGGUAGGAAUUCCGUUUGCAGCAUGUGGGAAGAGGAUAAAACGUGCCUUCAGUGGCUAGACGCCCAACCUCAAGGUUCUGUGUUAUAUGUUUCCUUUGGUAGCAUUGCUAUGAAGUCUGAAAGGCAAUUGCAUGAGCUGGCUCUUGGACCAGAGGCUUGUGGAUACCCGUUCCUGUGGGUGCUCAGAUCAGAUAUAGCAGAAGGAAAGUCCCUUGAUUUACCAGAAGGCUUCAAGGAUCGAAGCAAGGAUCGGGCUCUGUUCGUUAGUUAGACGAAUCAGUUGAAGGCAAGGCGGUUUCUAAACUUCCGAUUAUUGUAAUUUUAGGAAAGUUUCUAAACUAAUUUUUUUAAAGGGAUGUAGGCGGAGGAUUCUUUACACAUGGUGGAAUUCUACUUUGGAGGCGAUUAGCAUGGGAAAUCUUAUGAUUGGACGGUCUUAUAUUGGUGAUCAAUUUUUUAAUUGUUCUUUUGUAAAAGAUGUUUGGAAUGUUGAUUUGGACUUUGAGGAUGUCGAUGUUGAUGAAUUUACAUUAAUGACAAAAAAGAUUGUUGA